ACGAACGCUGGCGGCAGGCUUAACACAUGCAAGUCGAACGCGUGUAGCAAUACACGAGUGGCGCACGGGUGAGUAACGCGUGGAUAUCUGCCUUUUGGUUCGGAAUAACCCCGGGAAACUGGGGCUAAUACCGGAUGGUUCCUUCGGGAUAAAGAUUUAUCGCCAAAAGAUGAGUCCGCGUCCGAUUAGCUAGUUGGUGAGGUAAUGGCUCACCAAGGCGACGAUCGGUAGCUGGUCUGAGAGGACGAUCAGCCACACUGGGACUGAGACACGGCCCAGACUCCUACGGGAGGCAGCAGUGGGGAAUAUUGGACAAUGGGGGCAACCCUGAUCCAGCCAUGCCGCGUGAGUGAUGAAGGCCUUCGGGUUGUAAAGCUCUUUUGGCGGGGACGAUGAUGACGGUACCCGCAGAAUAAGCCCCGGCUAACUUCGUGCCAGCAGCCGCGGUAAUU
rnacentral:rRNA from 1 species